AACUGGCUAUAUCCUCACUUGGAACUCCUGUCUCUAGAGAAGUUCUGAGAGGCAUGUAGACAGACUCAUAUUUAGGCAAAAGAAUGACAGACUCUUAAAAGAGUCCUUGGGAAGCACUACUGCAGCUGGCAGAGUACCUGCAACUUAGUGUCACUGAAUAUUUGUUGAAUGAAUGACUGAAUGAAUGAAUUGCUCUUUAGCAAUCUAAUGGACCUGACAGGCAAUUCAGAGGGCUCUAAAGCCAACUAAAGGAUGCACAAAACGUUGACAAUACUGAGCUCACGAACUUUCUCACUAGGAGAAUCUUCCUGUGUGGAAAAUAUUCAAUAGAGAAGUAAGAAAUAUGCUGCUGUUCCCAGUGUGGGAAAUGUGAAGAAAACAUUCAACACAUUAUUUAUCCAAAGUCCAUUUUAAGGAAAUAUUCAUUUUAAAAGACAGGAUUGGAUUGCUUGAAGAAGUUUAUGACAGGAUAAACGGAAGCCUCACAGAAUUUUAGAGCAGGAAUUGGCCCUGAAGACUGUCCAGCACAGUCGGCUCUUGCUAUAGUUGAAAGCCUGGUGCCCAGAGAGAGACAUGAAAGUGUCCAUUCAACCCCUUAGCUAACUGGUGGUGGACUGCAAUUAAGAACCCCAGCUGAGUUAAUCAUCAUUUACUGCUCUUUCCGUGCUUUCCAGCUCCUUACUUCCCUGGAGAACGUCUUGAGCAAAGUCGUUUGGAGGUGCAAAGACAAACUGGUUGACCUCACUAACCAGUGUGGGCACCAUGUUAGCCCUGGAGUUUCUGCUUCCUUGAUUCACCCAAUAAAAUAAACAAAAUUUCUUCUCCUUUAGGAAUUAAGGAAAACUCCUCAUUUUCCUCCCAAGCCCACUAUUUAGCACAUGGAUGAAAUAGUCAUCAGCAUAAUGCAAACCUUAUCUGUAGCCAGAGAAGUUUUCCCUGUUACUUCUUAUCCUCUGACUCAGGGUGGGGAGGUAGCAGGGAGGGCCAGGUGCCUAUAUUUUUUGAUGAAAUCAAAUCUCUUUGUGAGAGUUUGGAAGCAGAAAAAAUAUAUAUCAAACAAACAUUUUUCUGUGAAGGGUGCCUCCCAAAACUUCCCAAGAGUAACCCUAAAGUUUAUGUAAUAUGUGCUGGUACAAAUCGGUCAUCAUUAAAAGAGUUUCAAGCAAAUGUUCAAAUUGAUUCUACUAUCAAGUAGAUUCAACAGCCUUUUAUCUGCCCCCAAAUUCUAGUUAUCUCUUACACACCAUACCCCUUGCACCCCCAACACACCCCCACACACACGUUUGUCACUGCUUCUCUUGAAAGCAACAGGCUGCCACCUACUGGUGAGAAAUCAUCUUGGAGAAACCACAAGGUUGGACCUUAGGACCUUUGAAGUGAAGGAAAGAAUAUGUCAGGUUAAAACUUAUCAGUUAUUAAAAGAUACUAAUUAGAAAGUGACCAUGAGAGAAAUGUUGCCAAUAAUUAGUUUCCUAGGAUAGUAAAAAGAAAAUAUAUAAGAAAAGAAAUGAGAACACUGAGGAAGAACCUAUGAGAGAAAGAAUUUUUCCUUGGUGAUCUUCCACUAUGAAUUCAGUACUUGUAGGCACAGAUGCCUCCACAUUUUCUUCCUCCCAAGAAUUAAAAAAAAAAAAAAAAUCUCAGGAUUGAAAGACAUCAUUGCCUCUCAGCCUCUUGAAUCCCCUGCCUCCCCUCAUUACUUCAUCAGUUUGCCCAUUCUGUUCAAAUAGGUGUAGCAGUUUGGGAUUUGUAACUCUGUUAAGAUGAACAUUACAGUUUUAUAUAUGCUUAUUUUACCUUCCUGCUUUGUGUGAACAUGGACUUCCCAGGUGGCACUAGUGGUAAAGAACCUGCCUGCCAAUGCAAGAGAUAUAAGAGACACGGGUCCCAACCCUUGGGUCGGGAAGAUCCCCUGGAGGAAGGCAUGGAAACCCACUCCAGUACUCUUGCCUGGAGAAUACUAUUGGCAGAGGGUCCUGGCAGACUACAGUUCAUAGGGGUGCAAAGAGUUGGACUUGACUGAAGCGACUUAGCACACAUGCCUUGUGAACAGAAAAAUCAUUUGGAAAUCUCAAACAGUAAACAAAAUAAGGGGACAAUAUUAUUCUCACUAGUAAUCAGAGAUGUGAAAAUUGAAACAUUAAGGUACUGUUUUUCACCCAGCAAGAGAGUAGAAAUAUUUGUCACUGAUAAUAUCAACCAUGUAAAUAAAGAUGUAAUCAAAUUAGGACUUUUACACACUACUGGAAGGAGUAUAAAUGGUUACCACUUUUCAUGAACACACAGUGACAUACAGAAUGCACACUCUUUGAUCCAGUGUGCAUAUUUCUUUCAAUUUUCACAUAAAAAAUAAUGCAAGGAAAAAAUAAGUAAUAGGCACAAAUAUAUUCAAAAUCAUUAACUUUUCUAACAGGCCAGAGAUGUGUAACACUGCAUAGCUUGCGUAUGAUACAAAGUUAAAUUUUAAAAUGGGAAAACCAGAAUUUUCCUUAAAACAGUAGGAAUCCAUGCUGGGUAGUUUCACCCCUCAAAUUAAAUUAAAACAUUACAAAAGUGUUCCUGCAAAUGUGCUUCAUCUUCAAAGAAAUUCACGGAAAGAAAUCUGACAAGAACAAAAGAAUUUAGGUUUCUGAGAAUUUUUCAGACCAUACCACUGAACUAGAUAAGAAUUCACAGAACUCAAAUGAAAAUACUGAUGGUUUUGCAAAACUUCUAACAAAAGAUCAAAACCAACAAGAACUAAUUAGAUGGGACUAAAUGAACUGAGGAGAAUAAUUAUAAUGUGACUUUUUAAUCUGAAACACGGCUGAAUUUUUCUUAACAUUUUAGUUUUCCAGAUUUAAGGAAACUUUUUCUCUUAGGCUAUCUAUGACUCACAGCAAUUUGAUAAAAUGUAUCUUUGUAAACAAAAACAAAGAAUUUACUUUUUCCCUCUGUCUGAUCUCUCCAGAAUUUGGAAACUCUCAUUGAGUAUUCUUAUUUUCAUGGUAGUAUAGUCAUUUGCAUGAGUUCAAUAAGAACUUGUUCUCCGUGUAACAGGAUACAACACAAUCAGAUAGAUUGGUUACAAUACCAAGAAUUUGACUAGAAUGUCAUACUGGAGAGAGAUACAAAGACUCAGACAUGAUCAAACAAUUUUAAAGAAGUGCUGAGAAAAAUCAGCCUAGUAUGCUUCUAAGGGGCUUCCCUGGUAGUUCAGUGGUAAAGAAUGCAUCUGCCAAUGCAGGAGACAUGGAUUCAACCCCUGGAUAGGGAAAAUCCCCUGGAAAAGGAAAUGGCAACCCCUUCCCCUCCUCCACUCCCCCCACCCCUGGCCCAGAGUAUUCUUGCCUUGGAAAUCCCAAGGACAGAGGAGCCUGGCAUGCUGCAGUCCGUGGGGUCACAAGAGUCAGACACAACUUAGCAAGUAAACAACAAGAAUAAAUCUUGCUUAUAAAGAUCCAGCAAAGUAAUCUUAAAAAGAGCUUACACGGUCGGUCAGUCGUUAUUCUCAAUGCAUUUAUGUAAAUAAUCAGGCCAUUCUAAUGCAAACCAAUUAGUUUUACUAGGAUUGUCUUUGAUUUAAAAAAAAAAGUGGGGGGUAAUUAUGGAGUGAGAACUUAGUGUUGCAACUUUGUAUCCUAUUAACUGGGCUUCCUGGUUUGCUCAGCUGAUAUUCUGCCUGCAAUCCAGGAGAUCCCAGUUCAAUUCCUGAGUUAGAAAGUUCUCCUGUAGAAGGGAUAGGCUACCUACUCCAGUAUUCUUGAGCUUCCCUGGUGGCUCAGACACCUGCAAUGCAGGAGACCUGGGUUUGAUCCCUGGGUUGGGAAGAUCCCCUGGAGGAGGACAUGGCAAACCCACUCCAGUAUUCUUGCCUAGAGAAUCCCCAUGGACAGAGGAGCCUGGCGGGCUACAGUCCAUGGGGUCACAAAGAGUUGGACAAGACUGAGAGACUAAGCACAGCACAGCACAGCACAGCACAGCAUCCUAUUAAUUGUCUUUAAGGUUCUGUUAUACCUUAAAGUAUAAGCUGUAAGCUGGACUUGAUCACGAAACUCUUCUAGUUUCCUUAAAUAUCUGACUAGAAAUCUCCAAACUAAAUGUUUCCAAUUUUUUCUCACCCUUUUGAUUUGGAAUCAAUAAGAACAAAGACGUCCCUUAAAUUUCUUUGGAAGGGAGUAUACCACAUUUUAAAGAUCAGUCCUGGGUGUUCUUUGGAAGGAAUGAUGCUAAAGCUGAAACUCCAGUACUUUGGCCACCUCAUGUAAAGAGCUG
rnacentral:lncRNA from 1 species